AAGCAAACGAACACAAAAUAUUCGCGAAAACGAGAGGGGGCAAAAGGGGAAAGACGACGCCUCAAGGCCGCGAGAAGCGAGGGCGAAGAAAGGCCUCGAGGCAGCUCGUCGAUGGUGGUUAGGGUUUCGCAGCCUGCGUCCUCGACCCACUGACGAAGCGACCCGGCGGCAAGAGGCUCCUUCGUCCCCCUAGGCUGCAGGGAGGCUCCCGCUAUCUCUGUGGCGGCUCCGGAAGGCGACGGAGGGAACUGCGGCGCGAUGGGGGAGCAGCGGGAGGCUUCGGCUUCGGCGGCGGCGGUAGCGCACAGCAGCAACAUGCAGCGUGUGAAAGUGUACCGUUUGAGGGAUGGAGGCAAAUGGGAUGAUCAGGGCACAGGGCACGUUGCUGUUGACUACAUCGAGGGUUCAAAAGAACCUGGUUUGACUGUUUUGGAUGAAGAAGACAACGAAACACUGCUUGUCCACAAUAUUACAUCUGAAGAUAUCUACAGAAAGCAAGAAGAAACAAUCAUCUCAUGGAGGGAUCCAGAAGCAGCAACAGAAUUAGCAUUGAGCUUUCAGGAGGCUGCAGGGUGCUCCUACAUAUGGGACAACAUCUGUGAUAUUCAGAGAAACCUUCAGUUUAGUAACCUUGGCGGUCUUGAAGUUUGUCCUCGUCCAGCUUCGGAACAUCUAGAAGCCUCUAGAGUAUUGCAUUCACACGAUGAGUCCUUUCGCUCUGUUAACGGUGAACUGAGGGAACUUCCACCUGUUGAUUUGUCCAAUCUUCCUUUGAUUUUGAAGACUAUAUUGGAGGGUGGCAUUACUGAUCAAAUGCGCGUGGCCGAGUUGAUAACACAAGAUCGUGAUUUUUUCCCCAAGCUGCUGGAUAUUUUUAGAAUGUGUGAGGAUUUAGAGAAUUUAGAUGAUCUCCACAUGAUAUUCAAAUUAGUCAGGGGAAUCAUAUUGCUGAACAGCCCAUCGAUCUUUGAUAAGAUAUUCUCUGAUGAGCUUAUUCUUGACAUCAUAGGCGCCCUUGAAUAUGAUCCAGAGGUUGCUAAAGUGCAAAAGCAUCGCAUUUUUCUGAAGGAUCAUGUAGUUUUCAAAGAGGCCAUACCUAUUAAAAAUAUUUCUGUGGUUUCAAGGAUACAUCAAACGUACAGAAUAGGGUAUCUAAAGGAUGUUAUAUUACCCAGAAUAUUAGAUGAUGCCACUCUGGCUAGUCUUAACACGAUGAUACACACGAACAAUGCUGCUGUUAUUUCCUUACUGAAGGAUGAUGCUUGCUUUAUCCAAGACUUAUUCUCUAGGAUGAGAUCACCAAAUAUUUCUAUGGAAUUGAAAAGAGAAUUGGUCCUGUUCUUGCAUGAGUUCUGCACUCUUAGUAAGAGUUUGCCGCUUGUACAACAACUACGACUGUUUCGGGAUCUUUCAGGUGAAGGUGUAUUUGAAAUUGUAUCUGAUGUGUUGCAGAGUCAAGACAGAAAAAUUGUUUCGGCUGGGACGGAUAUCGUUAUUCUUUUUCUUAAUCAGGACCCUAACCUAUUGAGGUCAUAUAUUGUCCAGCAAGAAGGAAAUUCUCUUCUUGGACUUUUGGUUAAAGGAAUGGUAACUGACUUUGGUGAGCAAAUGCACUGUCAAUUUCUGGAAAUCCUCCGUAUAUUAAUGGAUUCUUUCACUAUGUCUGGAGCACAUAGAGACGUAAUUAUUGAGAUUUUCUAUGAAAGGCACCUUGACUAUUUGGUUGAUGUAAUAGCAUCCUCUUGUCCUUCGAGGAGUGCUACCCGAACAUCACCUAACUCAGCUGUCGUUGGUGGAAACACUGAAGAGCAUCGUAUCAAGCCAGAAAUUCUGUUAAAUGUCUGCGAACUAUUAUGCUUUUGUGUAGUCCAUCAUCCCUAUAGAAUUAAGUGCAACUUCCUUAUGAACAAUGCGAUAGAGAAAAUCCUUACCAUGACUCGACGAAGUGAGAAGUUUUUGGUUGUUGCAGCUGUCAGGUUUAUGCGCACUAUUAUAUCCAGAAAUGAUGAACAUCUUAUUCGCCAUGUUGUCAAGUUUAACUUGUUGAAACCAAUAAUUGACGCCUUUGUGGAAAAUGGGGAUAGAUAUAACAUGCUACAAUCUGGAGUACUCGAACUGUUGGAACACAUACGGAAGGAAAAUCUAAAACCUCUUGUUAUUUAUGUUACCGAGUCUUUCUCAGAUCAACUUAUGAAGUUUGAACACUUUGGGAGCAUUCAGGCCUUCAAACUCAAGUAUCAACAGUACUUGGAGAGUGCCGAUAUGAAAUUAAGUGCUAGUGUGCCUGACAUGAGAAAGAAGGCAGAAGGAAGAGGUCUUGAGAAGGAAGAGGAAGAUUAUUUCAACGAGAGUGACGAGGAAGAUUCAGUAAGGCGGACUAAACAUGCACACGGUGAACAUAAUGAAGAAAGCAAGGAUGAUGUAGCCAAUGGAAGCGAAACUGAUGACAUAUCCUCAAGGCCUAAAUCUGGUGGGCUUGUGGACUAUGCCGAUGACGACGACGAGGAUUUCAAUCCGCCACCCAAGGAGCCUGAUAGGCCUGUGGAUGACGAUGAGCUCUUAACUAUAUCCACAGUGAAGCGGAAAUUAGUGAACCCGGGGGAUGGCAAACAUGCAGAUGGGGAAGUUCGCAAGAGACAAAAGAUUGAAACAAGGAUUACUUGUGCCAAGAUUUCUGCUUUGACUAAUCUGGCUAGCAAACACAAGGAUACACUUGCCUCAAGCUCGCCAAGUUGCGAGGCCAAUGGUGUUUUGGGGGAGCAUGCUACACAUUCUGAUGAGCAUCAACAUUCCACAGACACUGCAGAAACCUCACGGCAAGUUGGCGGUGAUUGUAUCAAAGCAAUGGGCAGUUUGUCUAGUGAGAAGGCUGUAAAUACCACCAAAACAAACGAUUCAGAGCCCUAUUCAGUGAGAUGACAAAUUGACAGCUCUUCUCCACACUGGCUUGCCCCAGGAUUCGACCGAUCAAUGCUUGCCAACCGAUCAAUGCUUGCCAACAGGAACAACAUGUUUUUGGCUCUGGAGAAGGCUGAAUCUAUUAAUCUCAAAUCCAGAAGCAUGAGUCGAGGUGAUGUAAACCGCACUUCUCUGUAAAUCUUGAAUGAAAUUGCAGCUACCAUCACAGCCUGUAAAGUAAUUCUUCCAGAAGGAAAGAUAUGAAACUGAGAAUUGGCAUGCCUUUCGGUUCAGCAUUAAUCGAGUCUUGCUCUCUCUCUCUCUCUCUCUAUAUAUAUAUAUAUAUAUAUAUAUCUUUCUCUCUAUAUAGAGAGAGCAGUGAAUAUAUGAAACUGAGAAUUGGCAUGCACUUUCUCCCGUUUUCUUUCUAGGAUCAUUGGCUGAGAUGUUGAUGUUGUAAAACAAGUGGGCAAGAAUAGUUUCAGUUGAGAGUGAUAUUAUCCAUAUCUUACAGUUGUAAUUUGUCGAUUAGUAGUUUUGGCUGGAUAUACUUUGACUUGGAUGAGUAAGUAAUUUAUAUGAUAGAAUAAUUUAUUCAAAAUGUUGAACAAGAGUA
rnacentral:rRNA from 1 species